UCGGUUGCCAUGGUGACCACGUCCCAACAGAAACAAUGUGCUUGCAGGCAGCUGCGGUCAUCAUACUCAAAUACGGCAAAGUAAAAUAUAAGUAAACAACACAACACCGACACAUGAUAUGAAAACAAACAUCCACCCGGAUUCAAGGAGUGUCUCUUUGCUAAAGCACAGUGAAAGGCCUGGGUAAAAUACUGCAGUCACUGGAAAUAAGAAGCAUGAAUUUAAAUGACUUGGUGGUUCCUAACAACAAGACCAGUUCUAUCAAGCUCAAUGCCAGGAACUUGCAAAAAUUGCAACUGGACACCACAACUCUGGCCAGUGAAAGCAAGGAGAUGGAAGAGAAACUGGAACAGCUGAAAGAAGACAUGAGUAAAGAGAAGGAGGGGAGAGGACAUUUAAGAGACUUUAGAUGGAGGUUUGGAAAAUCUAUUUCUUCAAACAGUAACUCUCAACCAAACAUUGUCAAGACAACCAACUACAACAAAUUUCAAAAGCUUUCAGCAGGUAGACUGAAGAUAAGAGUUCUGAAGGAUGAAUCUUUGAGAGCUCCAGUCCAGUCAACACCUUCACCUUCAGUCCCUAAUUCUGGUCUUGGAAUGACGAGUAGAAGCAGAGAAAAGGGAACGAUCUCCAGACAGUUUGAAAUAAAGACUGCUGAAUUAACAGAUACACAGGCUCAUGUGAUCAGCCAAGACAUCAGCUGCUUCCAGAGACAGAUUAACCCUGGCUCUUUUCCCGGUACCUAUAAUCCUGAUUCCAGUACAAGCCCUGAUCCCAAUCACACCAUCACAUCCUCUACAAUAACCAGAAGAGUAGAUGAGAGCCUAGAGAAUGGAACAAAAGUGAAGGAAAAACAGAUGAAAAUUCCUCAUAACUGCAGCCAGGUGCUGGUUAUAAAACAUGGACAGGAGAAAACAGUGGGAGCAAUUGAAGGUGAUAAAAGUGAAUUGGCCAACUUUACAGGACUAUACAGUGAGGAGGAGUCCGCAAGAUCUUUUCAGGAGGCUCUCAUACAGUGGAGACAAGAAAGGAUUGAUGGGAAAAGAAAGCUUGUUACAACUGAUGUACCAUGGAGACCAGCAUUAAUGUCAGCCACGUCGACCCAGACUGACCUCCCUCCAGACAGAGAAUCUGAAGGACAAAACAGAGAAGGAGCAGAACAGAACCUAACUGUCAAGCUGGAGUUUACUGAAAACAGCCUUACCUACAUGGAUAGGUUGCUUCUCAAGAAGCACCGCAGAACACCAGCUGAAAGUCCCCCAUCACUGGCUUUCGGCAUGGAUAUAAAAUCACUACCUACCACAGACACUGAGGAAGAUAUGGUCUCCAGCCUUACUGCUGAAGAGGAGGAUUUUCAGCAGUACUGGUCAUCGCUGUUCAAUGUCCCUGUCAGCAAGGACAUGAAUGAGCCACAGGUUUCCACAUCUGGAUUGUGUCUUAACAUAGAAGUCUUGGAUGAGAUAUGCAGAGAUAUAAAGAAGGUGUCGUUUUCUGAGCAGAAGCUGGAUAACAACAUAAUGGUUUCAAAAGCUGAUCACUCCUCUCCAUGUCCAAAUCAUCCACCCAGACCAUCUAUCACAUCAGUUCAACAGAAUACAGGCAGGAAACCACAUUGCCCUGAAGACCAGAAUUCAAAAAUCAAUGACUCAGCAAACGCAUCAACUUCUGAUUGUGGGACAUCUGCUUGUAUUACUGCCGGAACAUCAAAGAAAUCAGCCAAACCACCAAACUCACAUCCAUCAAGGUCCAUUAGCUCUCCCACUAUAAACAAAUUAGAAGAUAACUGUGGAUCACCACGAUUCCUCCCCUCCUUACCAGAUUCACAAUUUAUAAUUCACAAGUCUUCCCAGCCUUCUGAUUCAUUUACAACUGAGGUUUCAAUUUUGGAUUUUGCAACAUCAGUUAUCCCAGAGGAGAAUCUUUCACCUUCUUCAUCAAUGUCUUUUUCCCUGAGGUCUACCUUCAGUGUCUCUCCAUCAGGCUCUACUCAGUGUGUCUUAUUGCCAAAGGUUUGCCACUCAACUCCACAACAAAGUGAUACAAAAAAAAAACAAUCCUCCCAGUUAUUUGCAGAAACAAUCUCAUCUGUGAACCCUUAUGAAACGCCAAGAAGCAAUCUAAUCUCCCCACAGCAAUUCCAGCUUCCCAGCAGUGAACCAGAUUGUCUUCUUUUAGACAAUCAGCUCACACACUCUUUAUCACCUGGUACUGUAAAACCACAGCCAACAUCAAAGGCCUUGGAGUCAAUUAUUUCGAUAGCCAACCCUGUGCCAGACAAUGGUCCUCCAUAUUUCUGUCAUAAAUCAGUUCUAAAACAUGAAGAUGCUGGUGACCACAAAUCAACUCCAUCAUGUAAGGAGGCACAUUGUACCUCACCAAACCGCGCCCCAAAUCUCACUGAUAAUGCUGUGGAAACAGAGGAGGAAAAGUAUUUGGAAGAGAGUGAGGAUGAAAUGACCAGUGAUAGCCUCAACCUGACUCCACCAGAAGACGACUCCUGCAGAGAGGAAGCACAGGUGAUGCAAAACCAGACUGCUGGGUUUGGAUCAGAGCAGUUCUGUGAUCUAGAUGGGUUUUCGCCUUUAGGUUUGGACACGGAUACCGGUUGCCCCGGCUCACCAGUGCAGUCACACUGUGACGGACUUCACACAUGCCAAUUUUCAGUGCGUGACUCAGACCCAACAGAAUUUGCUCCAGCAGGUUUUACACUUUCCCAGGCUUCACAAGCGAUUAUGGAGAUCUGUAGCGUGGACCAGACAGGCUGUGAGGACCCUGAUGUGGACACUGACAUGACCGCACGCAUGCUGCACAGUAUGGAGCAGGAACUGAGACUUGUGGCAAAUACACAGUGCAUCCGUAAAUGACUAUCCAAGCCUUGGGAUUGGAGUCCGACGACAGUGGAUGAGAAAACCAAGAUGAGAAUCAUUAUUUCACAUGGAGUGGGGCCAGCAAGGAAUGAAACCAAGAAGAGGAGAUUGCAGAGAGAGAUCGACAGAGUGCCUUGAGUCAUUUACUCACAGAGACAAGCAAAACAGAUAUACAUUUGGUGUAAAUUGUGUUUAUGAGGUGGUUCGCAGAUGUAUUUUCCCUCACAUUUAUAUAAAUGUAACUGUUAAAAUAAACGCUGUUUUAUUUGUCUCA